rnacentral:rRNA from 1 species
CACAAUGGGCGAAAGCCUGAUGCAGCAACGCCGCGUGUGUGAUGAAGGCCUUCGGGUCGUAAAGCACUUUUCUGGGAGAUGAGAAAGGACAGUAUCCCAGGAAUAAGUCUCGGCUAACUACGUGCCAGCAGCCGCGGUAAAACGUAGGAGGCAAGCGUUAUCCGGAUUCACUGGGCGUAAAGCGCGUGCAGGCGGUGCGGUAAGUUGGGCGUGAAAUCUCCCGGCUCAACUGGGAGAGGUCGUCCAAUACUACCGUACUCGAGAGCAGAAGAGGAAGAUGGAAUUCCCGGUGUAGUGGUGAAAUGCGUAGAUAUCGGGAGGAACACCAGUGGCGAAGGCGAUCUUCUGGUCUGUUUCUGACGCUCAGACGCGACAGCUAGGGUAGUAAACGGGAUUAGAGACCCCGGUAAUCCUAGCCGUAAACGAUGUGAACUUGGCGUUGGUGGGUUAAACUCCAUCAGUGCCGUAGCAAACGCGAUAAGUUCACCGCCUGGGGACUACGGCCGCAAGGUUA